UGAUUUUUGUAACAAGGUUUCCGUAGGUGAACCUGCGGAAGGAUCAUUACAGAGUUCAUGCCCGAAAGGGUAGACCUCCCACCCUUGUGUAUUAUUACUUUGUUGCUUUGGCGAGCUGCUCUUCGGGGCCUUGUAUGCUCGCCAGAGAAUAUCAAAACUCUUUUUAUUAAUGUCGUCUGAGUACUAUAUAAUAGUUAAAACUUUCAACAACGGAUCUCUUGGUUCUGGCAUCGAUGAAGAACGCAGCGAAAUGCGAUAAGUAAUGUGAAUUGCAGAAUUCAGUGAAUCAUCGAAUCUUUGAACGCACAUUGCGCCCCUUGGUAUUCCGGGGGGCAUGCCUGUUCGAGCGUCAUUUCAACCCUCAAGCUCAGCUUGGUAUUGAGUCCAUGUCAGUAAUGGCAGGCUCUAAAAUCAGUGGCGGCGCCGCUGGGUCCUGAACGUAGUAAUAUCUCUCGUUACAGGUUCUCGGUGUGCUUCUGCCAAAACCCAAAUUUUCUAUGGUGACCUCGGAUCAGGUAGGGAUACCCGCUGAACUUAAGCAUAUCAAU
rnacentral:rRNA from 1 species